rnacentral:rRNA from 1 species
UGGGGAAUAUUGGACAAUGGGCGCAAGCCUGAUCCAGCCAUGCCGCGUGAGUGACGAAGGCCUUAGGGUUGUAAAGCUCUUUUGGCGGGGACGAUAAUGACGGUACCCGCAGAAUAAGCCCCGGCUAACUUCGUGCCAGCAGCCGCGGUAAUACGAAGGGGGCUAGCGUUGUUCGGAAUCACUGGGCGUAAAGCGCACGUAGGCGGAUUUGUAAGUCAGGGGUGAAAUCCCGGGGCUCAACCUCGGAACUGCCUUUGAUACUGCAAGUCUCGAGUUCGGGAGAGGUGAGUGGAAUUCCUAGUGUAGAGGUGAAAUUCGUAGAUAUUAGGAAGAACACCAGUGGCGAAGGCGGCUCACUGGCCCGAUACUGACGCUGAGGUGCGAAAGCGUGGGGAGCAAACAGGAUUAGAUACCCCCGUAGUCCCUGAGCGGGCUGGCAAGGCGCAU